UGAAUACGAGACGCUACGGCGUCGAAGCAGUCUAUGUCAUACUUCCAAGAAAAGCUUGCACUGUCAUAAACAAAUAAUGCCUGUACCAUAACCGACACAGGUGGGUAGGUAGAGUAUACUAAGGGGCGCGAGAUAACUCUCUCUAAGGAACUCGGCAAAAUGACUCCGUAACUUCGGGAGAAGGAGUGCCUUAUUUAUAAGGUUGCAAUAACAAGAUCCAAGCAACUGUUUAUCAAAAACACAGGUCUCCGCUAAGUCGUAAGACGAUGUAUGGGGGCUGACGCCUGCCCAGUGCCAGAAGGUUAAAGAAGUUGGUUAGCAUUAGCGAAGCUGAUAACUGAAGCCCUGGUGAACGGCGGCCGUAACGAUAACGGUCCUAAGGUAGCGAAAUUCCUUGUCGGGUAAGUUCCGACCCGCACGAAAGGCGUAAUGAUUUGGAUACUGUCUCAGAGAGGGGCUCGGUGAAAUAGACUUGUCUGUGAAGAUGCGGACUACCUGCACCAGGACAGAAAGACCCUAUGAAGCUUUACUGUAACUUGAAAUUGAAAUUGGACUUUAUUUGCGCAGUAUAGGUGGGAGGCAUUGAUAAUAUUCUUGCGGGAAUGUUGGAGCCAUCAGUGAGAUACCACUCUUGUAAUGUUAGAUUUCUAACUUUGGAUCAUUAUCUGGUCAAAGGACAGUUUCAGGCGGGCAGUUUGACUGGGGCGGUCGCCUCCUAAAUGGUAACGGAGGCGCACAAAGGUUUCCUCUGAACGGGUAGAAAUCGUAUCUAGAGUGCAAAGGCAUAAGGAAGCUUGACUGUGAGACCUACAAGUCGAGCAGGGACGAAAGUCGGUCUUAGUGAUCUGACGGUGCUGAGUGGAAAGGCCGUCACUCAACGGAUAAAAGUUACUCUAGGAUAACAGGCUGAUCUCCCCCAAGAGUUCACAUCGACGGGGAGGUUUGGCACCUCGAUGUCGGCUCAUCGCAUCCUGGGGCGGUAGUACGUCCCAAGGGUUGGGCUGUUCGCCCAUGAAAGCGGUACGCGAGCUGGGUUCAGAACGUCGUGAGACAGUUCGGUCCAUAUCCGGUGUAGGCGUUAGAAUAUUGAGAGGAGCCUUCUUUAGUACGAGAGGACCGAGAAGGACAUACCUCUGGUGUACCAGUUAUCGUGCCAACGGUAAACGCUGGGUAGCUAUGUAUGGAGAGGAUAACCGCUGAAAGCAUCUAAGUGGGAAGCCCACCUCAAGAUAAGUAUUCUC
rnacentral:rRNA from 1 species